CUUGGUACAAAACCAGAUCUAGAUGAUAUGGAAACUAAUCACACCUCUCUGUCCCAAUAAAGCUUUACUAAAAAGAGCCAGAUUUGUAGUUUCCUAUCCUGGCUCCAACCGUAAGCAGGGAAAAGGAAGUGAAAGGACCUCUCUUUGGAACAAAUGUCUGUGCUGGAUCUGGCCUCUGAGCAAGAAGAAGGAGAGGAUGGAGAAGCACUGUCUGCAGUGGACAUAGACUCCAGGUCUUCGGCUGUCAGACGUCCUGGUAAAUGAGCAAGGAAGUUCCUGCCUGAUGGAGCCGAUACAGCACUCAGGAGGCAGCAGGUAUCUGAGCACCCAGUUCUUCUUAUGUAACAUCCAAGAGGAUA
rnacentral:lncRNA from 1 species